GACAGAGGGUGCAAACGUUGCUCGGAAUUACUGGGCGUAAAGCGCGUGUAGGCGGGUCGGAAAGUCAGAUGUGAAAUCCCUGGGCUCAACCCAGGAACUGCGUCCGAUACUGGUUGGCUUGAAUCCGGGAGAGGGAUGUGGAAUUCCAGGUGUAGCGGUGAAAUGCGUAGAUAUCUGGAGGAACACCGGUGGCGAAGGCGGCAUCCUGGACCGGUAUUGACGCUGAGGCGCGAAAGCCAGGGGAGCAAACGGG
rnacentral:rRNA from 1 species